GGCUGGCCCAAUGAUAGUGGGUUAUCAGAACUUAUCAACAUUAGUGUUGCUAAAGUUGGUAUACAACCCCCCACUGCGAAAUUUGGCUGGCUUUUA
ensembl:misc_RNA Y_RNA Y RNA